rnacentral:rRNA from 1 species
GACGAACGCUGGCGGCGUGCUUAACACAUGCAAGUCGAACGGAAAGGCUCCUGCUUGCCGGGGUACUCGAGUGGCGAACGGGUGAGUAACACGUGGGUGAUCUGCCUUGUACUCUGGGAUAAGCUUGGGAAACUGGGGCUAAUACCGGAUAAUAACUGCCGUUGGAGGGGGGGGUGGAGAGUGUUUUCGGUGCAAGAUGAGGUCGCGGCCUAUCAGCUUGUUGGUGGGGUAAUGGCCUACCCAGGCGUCGACGGGUAGCCGGCCUGGGAGGGGGUACGGCCCCACUUGGACUUGGAUACGGCCCAGACUCCUACGGGAGGCAGCAGUUGGGAAUAUUGCACAAUGGGCGGAAGCCUGAUGCAGCGACGCCGCGUGGGGGAUUACGGCCUUCGGGUUGGAAACUCCUUUCGACAGGGACGAAGCUUUUUGUGACGGUACCUGUAUAAGAAGCACCGGCUAACUACGUG